GAGUUUGAUCCUGGCUCAGAUUGAACGCUGGCGGCAGGCCUAACACAUGCAAGCCGAACGGUAACAGGAAGAAGCUUGCUUCUUUGCUGACGAGUGGCGGACGGGUGAGUAAUUUCUGGGAAACUGCCUGAUGGAGGGGGAUAACUACUGGAAACGGUAGCUAAUACCGCAUAACGUCGCAAGACCAAAGAGGGGGACCUUCGGGCCUCUUGCCAUCGGAUGUGCCCAGAUGGGAUUAGCUUGUUGGUGGGGUAACGGCUCACCAAGGCGACGAUCCCUAGCUGGUCUGAGAGGAUGACCAGCCACACUGGAACUGAGACACGGUCCAGACUCCUACGGGAGGCAGCAGUGGGGAAUAUUGCACAAUGGGCGCAAGCCUGAUGCAGCCAUGCCGCGUGUAUGAAGAAGGCCUUCGGGUUGUAAAGUACUUUCAGCGGGGAGGAAGGGAGUAAAGUUAAUACCUUUGCUCAUUGACGUUACCCGCAGAA
rnacentral:rRNA from 1 species